GGAGUUCCAACCAACAUUGACUGCCCCAGUAACGGCGAGUGAAGCGGCAACAGCUCAAAUUUGAAAUCCGGCCCCCGCGGCCCGAGUUGUAAUUUGCAGAGGACGCUUUGGGCGAGGUGCCUUCCGAGUUCCCUGGAACGGGACGCCGCAGAGGGUGAGAGCCCCGUACGGUCGGCGGCCGAGCCCGCGUAAAGCUCCUUCGACGAGUCGAGUAGUUUGGGAAUGCUGCUCCAAAUGGGAGGUAAACCCCUUCUAAAGCUAAAUACCGGCCAGAGACCGAUAGCGCACAAGUAGAGUGAUCGAAAGAUGAAAAGCACUUUGAAAAGAGAGUUAAAAAGCACGUGAAAUUGUUGAAAGGGAAGCGCUUGUGGCCAGACUUGCGCCCGGCAGCUCAGCCGUCCUUCUGGGCGGUGCACUCUGCCGGGCCCAGGCCAGCAUCAGUUUCCGGUCGGGGAGAAAGGCGGCGGGAACGUGGCUCCUCGGAGUGUUAUAGCCCGCCGCCAUGCCCUUCCGGGGACUGAGGUUCGCGCCCCGCAAGGAUGCUGGCGUAAUGGCCACCACGACCCGUCUUGAAACACGGACCAAGGAGUCGUCCUAGUAUGCGAGUGUUCGGGUGCCAAACCCCUACGCGCAAUGAAAGUGAACGGAGGUGAGACUUCGCGCAUCAUCGACCGAUCCUGAUGUUCUCGGAUGGAUUUGAGUAUGACAUACUGGCCCGACCGAAAGAAAGUGAACUAUGCUUGUAUAGGGUAAAACCAGAGGAAACUCUUGUGGAGGCUCCCAGCGGUUCUUACGUGCAAUCGAUCGUCAAUAUGAGCAUGGGGGCGAAAA
rnacentral:rRNA from 1 species